UACGGGGGGGGCAAGCGUUGUUCGGAAUUACUGGGCGUAAAGCGCGCGUAGGCGGCUCUUCAAGUCGAGUGUGAAGCUCCAGGCUUAACCUGGGAAUUGCCGCUUGAUACUGUUGAGCUAGAGGUGUGGAAGGGGCUACUGGAAUUCCCGUGUGUAGCGGUGAAAUGCGUAGAUAGUACGGAGGAACACCUGCGGCGAAGGCGGGUGAGCUGGGCCAACACUGACGCUGGAUGUGGCGAAAGCCUAGGGGGAGCAAAACGGG
rnacentral:rRNA from 1 species